GAAUUUUAUAUGAAUAGUAAUAAAGAAUUUAAAUUUAAUUAAGAUGGUAUUAUUAUUUAUAUUUUGUUGGGAGGAUAAUUAAAUUUAAAAAACUUUAAUUAAAAUAAAAUAUUAAUGAGUAAAAAAGAAGAUUGAGAAUGUUUAUUAUAAAAAGAAUUAAUUACCUUAGGGAUAACAGCAUAAAAUUUUUAGAAAGAUCUUAUUAAUAAAAAUAUUUGU
rnacentral:rRNA from 1 species